rnacentral:rRNA from 1 species
GAUGAACGCUGGCGGCGUGCCUAACACAUGCAAGUCGAGCGAUUCUCUUCGGAGAAGAGCGGCGGACGGGUGAGUAGCGCGUGGGUAACCUGCCCUGUACACACGGAUAACAUACCGAAAGGUAUGCUAAUACGAGAGAAUAUACUUUUAUCGCAUGGUAGAAGUAUCAAAGCUGUUGCGGUACAGGAUGGACCCGCGUCUGAUGAGCGAGUUGGUAAGGAAACGGCUUACCAAGGCGACGAUCAGUAGCCGACCUGAGAGGGUGAUCGGCCACAAUGGAACAGCGAAACAGCCCAAACUCCUACGGGAGGCAGCAUUGGGGAGAAUUGCAGAAUGAGCGAGAGCCUGAUGCAGCAACGCCGCGUGAGCCAUGAAGGCCUUCGGGGCGUAAAGCUCUGUCCUCAAGGGAGAUGAUGACGGUACUUGAGGAGGCAGCCCCGGCUAACUACGUGCCAGCCGCCGCUGUAACAC